AUAAGUAAGAAAUUAUUGACGCAGUCAACUGUCUUGGUCAACACCCCAGCCCAGGUGUGAAUCAACACUGGCACAUUAUAUCAAAAUUAAGGAUGGCGGCUGAAGCUCAUCUCCUAUGUAAACACCUAAAUGCCAAGUCUGGACUUCAAAAACAGAUUCUGAAAGUUUAACCAGCAUUAUGGACAGAAAGUAUACACUUCGAACAGACACAAAAACAUAUAGGUCCAUGCCAAGCUAUGAAAGAUUUAUGCUGAGGGUAAGUUCUAUUAUUAUAUAGAAUUUAAUUGUCAGACAUAUGGUUAU